rnacentral:rRNA from 1 species
CCUACGGGUGGCAGCAGUGAGGAAUAUUGGUCAAUGGACGAGAGUCUGAACCAGCCAAGUAGCGUGAAGGAUGACUGCCCUAUGGGUUGUAAACUUCUUUUAUAAAGGAAUAAAACAAGGCACGUGUGCCUUUUUGCAUGUACUUUAUGAAUAAGGAUCGGCUAACUCCGUGCCAGCAGCCGCGGUAAUACGGAGGAUCCGAGCGUUAUCCGGAUUUAUUGGGUUUAAAGGGAGCGUAGAUGGGUUGUUAAGUCAGUUGUGAAAGUUUGCGGCUCAACCGUAAAAUUGCAAUUGAUACUGGCAGUCGUGAGUACAGUUGAGGUAGGCGGAAUUCGUGGUGUAGCGGUGAAAUGCUUAGAUAUCACGAAGAACCCCGAUUGCGAAGGCAGCUUACUAAACUGUGACUGACAUUGAUGCUCGAAAGUGUGGGUAUCAAACAGGAUUAGAUACCCUUGUAGUC